rnacentral:misc_RNA from 1 species
AAGACUAUAGACCUGCGGAGUACCUGCGGAGGGAUCAUUAAUGAGUGAGGGUUUUUAUAAAACCCAACCUCCCACCCGUGUUUAUUGUACCUUGUUGCUUCGGUGGGCCCGCCGUAAGGCCGCCGGGGGCUUUAGCCCCGGGCCCGCGCCCACCGGAGACAAACUGAACUCUGUCUGAAUGUUGCAGUCUGAGUAAUAACUUAAUCAGUUAAAACUUUCAACAACGGAUCUCUAGAUCGG